CUUGUCAAGACAUAGAUAUAUACACAGCAGUUGUUUAUACAAGGUGAUUAUGUACACCUGUGCAAACCCUCUCAGUGAUUGUGGGCAUCAAGACACAGUAAUACAUAGCAGUAUCUCUCAGCUCUGCGCCCAGUAUUGUCAGUGGAAACGACUUGUGAUGCCUGUUAAGUGCAGCAGAGAGCCUGCCUCUGAACCUUGGCUCCAGAUCUUCAGAUGGUGUCUCGUCAUGCAGUAAAAAAUGGAUGAGAUUAUUAUGGUCCUGG